rnacentral:rRNA from 1 species
UACGGGGGGAGCAAGCGUUGUUCGGAUUUACUGGGCGUAAAGGGCGCGUAGGCGGCCAGUGCAAGUCAGUUGUGAAAUCUCCGAGCUUAACUCGGAAAGGUCAACUGAUACUGCUCGGCUAGAGUGCGGAAGGGGCAACUGGAAUUCUCGGUGUAGCGGUGAAAUGCGUAGAUAUCGAGAGGAACACCUGCGGCGAAGGCGGGUUGCUGGGCCGACACUGACGCUGAGUGAGCGAAAGCCAGGGGAGCAAACGGG